rnacentral:rRNA from 1 species
ACGCUCGACACCUACGUGAGGCAGCAGUGGGGAAUAUUGCACAAUGGGGGAAACCCUGAUGCAGCGACGCCGCGUGAGUGAAGAAGUAAUUCGUUAUGUAAAGCUCUAUCAGCAGGGAAGAAAGUGACGGUACCUGAGUAAGAAGCCCCGGCUAACUACGUGCAAGCAGCCGCGGUAAUCUGAGCGGGCUGGCAAGGC